rnacentral:rRNA from 1 species
UUAUAAGAUCCCUCAAAGAUGAUGAGGUUAAUAGGUUCGAGGUGGAAGCGUGGUGACACGUGGAGCUGACGAAUACUAAUCGAUCGAAGACUUAAUCAA